AUCCCGUCUCUGAUGAUAUUAUAUGAAUUGGCAGUGGGUUUCAACCCGUUUGUUGGUCUCUUUGGCACGCAACAAAAGCUGGGAUAUCAACCGGGGUUACAGUAGAUGGCGUUUUUUUUAAUUAACUAUUUUGCAUAUUAAUGGAUUUCUUACUUUAACUGCAACAUUUAUACAGAUAAUACUUUAAUUUAUUAAUUUACUAGUAAUCUACUGCCCCAGGUAAAGUGAUAAUAAUUAGUUUUUGAUUUUUCAUCGUAUAACAUGUCAUAUUUGCGACUUUAAGAGAAGAAAUUGAAGAAAUCUCAAUGUUAAUAGAUCUAUACUAUAGAAAUAUAGAAGUUAUUUAUAAGUUUCGUUAAAUAAAGAACACAUUAUCAAUGAGUUCUUAUACUAUCUGGAGGAGUUCAAGCUCCAAUCACGCAACUUGUUGUGGUGAUUAACAUUAUUUUUUAUCACAAAUUCCUGUUGGUAAACUCGUAUGAUCUAUGAGUUAUGAGUUAUGACUAAUUUAUAAUUAUAAAAGAGUUGCUGUAGUUUUUUAA
rnacentral:lncRNA from 1 species